GCUGGGCAUGGUGGUGGGUGCCUGUAAUCCCAGCUACUUGGGAGGCUGAGGCAGGAUAAUCACUUGAACCCAGGAGGUGAAGGUUGUAGUGAGCUGAGAUCGUGCCACUGCACUCCAGCCUGGGCAACACAGUGAGAUCCUGUCUCAU
ensembl:misc_RNA Metazoa_SRP Metazoan signal recognition particle RNA